UACGUAGGGUGCAAGCGUUAAUUCGGAAUUACUGGGGCGUAAAGCGUGCGCAGGCGGUUGUGCAAGACAGAUGUGAAAUCCCCGGGCUUAACCCUGGGAAUUGCAUUUGUGACUGCACGGCUAGAGUGUGUCAGAGGGGGUAGAAUUCCACGUGUAGCAGUGAAAUGCGUAGAUAUGUGGAGGAAUACCGAUGGCGAAGGCAGCCCCUGGGAUAACACUGA
rnacentral:rRNA from 1 species